rnacentral:tRNA from 1 species
CGGGCAGUCGCCCAGUGAUAGAGAUCCCGCUUCGUAUGUGGGAAGACCUGGGUUCGAUUCCCGGCUGCUUAC